rnacentral:lncRNA from 11 species
CGUCAUUUGGACACCUCUCUCCUCCGUUUCCAACAAUGGGGGCGUGGCUGGCAGCGCAGCGUUUUGGCUACGCUGCAGGAAGGGAGAAGGAGGAAGAGCCGAGGAGGACACAGGCGGGGAAUUUACUGAUAUCCAGAAGAGGGCUGCAGAGGAAGCGGACAGCGGUGACAUUUCCCCCUCUGGGAUUCUCAUUCCCAAUGCUCUGACCCAUCCAUAAGGAGGCUUGGGAAGGCACAGGUUUAAAUCCGGUGUGUCAAGUCACAGCCCUGACACCUGCUUGCAGCUGCGUUUUCCAGUCCAAUGAACAACUGAUGCGAGGUUCCAUGAUUGAAAUGAUUGUUUGUACAAUGCAAAUGCCCCAAAGCAUACGGUCAAAUAUAAGAGAGGCGCAACAAAUUGAAACACAGCAUGUCACCACGAGUGCAUUGUGACAGGAGGAGACCAUUUUGCAGUUAGUCCUGCAAGACCUGAUCCCUGCUUUGUGUCUUGUUUUUCCCCCCCAGAUGACCUAGAAGGUGAUGUCUGCACUAAAAAUAAAAGCAUCAGGCCAUUUCAC